GACGAACGCUGGCGGCGUGCUUAACACAUGCAAGUCGAGCGGUAAGGCCCUUCGGGGUACACGAGCGGCGAACGGGUGAGUAACACGUGAGUAAUCUGCCCAUCACUUCGGGAUAACUCCGGGAAACCGGUGCUAAUACCGAAUAUGACCACUUCAGGCAUCUGAUGGUGGUGGAAAGUUCCGGCGGUGAUGGAUGAGCUCGCGGCCUAUCAGCUUGUUGGUGGGGUAGUGGCCUACCAAGGCUUCGACGGGUAGCCGGCCUGAGAGGGUGACCGGCCACACUGGGACUGAGACACGGCCCAGACUCCUACGGGAGGCAGCAGUGGGGAAUAUUGGACAAUGGGCGAAAGCCUGAUCCAGCAACGCCGCGUGAGGGAUGACGGCCUUCGGGUUGUAAACCUCUUUCAGCAGGGACGAAGCGCAAGUGACGGUACCUGCAGAAGAAGCACCCGCCAACUACGUG
rnacentral:rRNA from 1 species